rnacentral:ncRNA from 1 species
AAAAAUUCGAUGACGAGGUUAAAGUUAAUGGGAUUUGUAAUCACAGAGAGCCGGUAUUGGUGGAAGCCGGCAUUACUGCCAUUAGCGACAUCCCCUCUGAGUGGAAUGCUGAAAGGUUCAUCCCGUUUAGGCAUUCCCGGUAGCUGGUUUGAGUAAGCUAUCGUUAUCAAAGGAUAAGUUCAACUUAUCCAUGAGGCUGCGGUUGCGCAGCGAAAUAGGGUGGUACCAUGAAGCUUUUUCAUCCCUAUG